rnacentral:rRNA from 1 species
GGCGGGCGUGCCUAAUACAUGCAAGUCGAGCGAAGCGAAGGGAGCUUGCUCCCUGAGAUUAGCGGCGGACGGGUGAGUAACACGUGGGCAACCUGCCUAUAAGACUGGGAUAACUUCGGGAAACCGGAGCUAAUACCGGAUACGUUCUUUUCUCGCAUGAGAGAAGAUGGAAAGACGGUUUACGCUGUCACUUAUAGAUGGGCCCGCGGCGCAUUAGCUAGUUGGUGAGGUAAUGGCUCACCAAGGCGACGAUGCGUAGCCGACCUGAGAGGGUGAUCGGCCACACUGGGACUGAGACACGGCCCAGACUCCUACGGGAGGCAGCAGUAGGGAAUCUUCCGCAAUGGACGAAAGUCUGACGGAGCAACGCCGCGUGAACGAAGAAGGCCUUCGGGUCGUAAAGUUCUGUUGUUAGGGAAGAACAAGUACCAGAGUAACUGCUGGUACCUUGACGGUACCUAACCAGAAAGCCACGGCUAACUACGUGCCAGCAGCCGCGGUAAUACGUAGGUGGCAAGCGUUGUCCGGAAUUAUUGGGCGUAAAGCGCGCGCAGGUGGUUCCUUAAGUCUGAUGUGAAAGCCCACGGCUCAACCGUGGAGGGUCAUUGGAAACUGGGGAACUUGAGUGCAGAAGAGGAAAGUGGAAUUCCAAGUGUAGCGGUGAAAUGCGUAGAGAUUUGGAGGAACACCAGUGGCGAAGGCGACUUUC